rnacentral:rRNA from 1 species
AUACGGAAGGUCCGGGCGUUAUCCGGAUUUAUUGGGUUUAAAGGGAGCGCAGGCGGAGAUGCAAGCGUGACGUCAAAUUUCGGGGCUCAACCCCGUCUCGCGUCGCGAACUGCGUCCCUUGGUUGCGGGAAGGGGAGGCGGAACUCGUGGUGUAGCGGUGAAAUGCAUAGAUAUCACGAAGAACUCCGAUCGCGAAGGCAGCCUUCCGGCCCGUCAACGACGCUCAUGCUCGAAGGUGCGGGUAUCAAACAGGAUUAGAUACCCUGGUAGUCCGCACAGUAAACGAUGGACACCCGCGGUUUGGCCUGUAUGGCUGAGCCGCCAAGCGAAAGCGUUAAGUGUCCCACCUGGGGAGUACGCCGACAACGGUGAAACUCAAAUGAAUUGACGGGG